GUCGUAACAAGGUCUCCGUAGGUGAACCUGCGGAGGGAUCAUUACACAAUAACAAGGCGGGCUGGACACCCCCAGCCGGGCACUGCUUCACGGCGUGCGCGGCUGGGCCGGCCCUGCUGAAUUAUUCACCCGUGUCUUUUGCGUACUUCUUGUUUCCUGGGUGGGCUCGCCCGCCAUCAGGACCAACCACAAACCUUUUGCAAUAGCAAUCAGCGUCAGUAACAACGUAAUUAAUUACAACUUUCAACAACGGAUCUCUUGGUUCUGGCAUCGAUGAAGAACGCAGCGAAAUGCGAUACGUAGUGUGAAUUGCAGAAUUCAGUGAAUCAUCGAAUCUUUGAACGCACAUUGCGCCCUUUGGUAUUCCAAAGGGCAUGCCUGUUCGAGCGUCAUUUGUACCCUCAAGCUUUGCUUGGUGUUGGGCGUCUUUUGUCACCAGUUCGCUGGAGACUCGCCUUAAAGUCAUUGGCAGCCGGCCUACUGGUUUCGGAGCGCAGCACAAGUCGCGCUCUUUGCCAGCCAAGGUCAGCGUCCAGCAAGCCUUUUUUUUCAACCUUUGACCUCGGAUCAGGUAGGGAUACCCGCUGAACUUAAGCAUAUCA
rnacentral:rRNA from 1 species